GGAGGAGCCUCUGGAGAGAUCCGUUAAAUCGGACGCCGAAGGAGCAAACCUGAUGCAAACACUGCUGAAGGUGAAACUCUCAGGCAAAAGGACAGAGGAGAUAAG
rnacentral:ncRNA from 1 species